GAUGAACGCUGGCGGCGUGCCUAAUACAUGCAAGUCGAGCGAACAGACGAGGAGCUUGCUCCUUUGACGUUAGCGGCGGACGGGUGAGUAGCACGUGGGUAACCUACCUAUAAGACUGGGAUAACUUCGGGAAACCGGAGCUAAUACCGGAUAAUAUUUCGAACCGCAUGGUUCGAUAGUGAAAGAUGGCUUUGCUAUCACUUAUAGAUGGACCUGCGCCGUAUUAGCUAGUUGGUAAGGUAACGGCUUACCAAGGCAACGAUACGUAGCCGACCUGAGAGGGUGAUCGGCCACACGGGAACUGAGACACGGUCCAGACUCCGACGGGAGGCAGCAGUAGGGAAUCUUCCGCAAGGGGCGAAAGCCUGACGGAGCAACGCCGCGUGAGUGAUGAAGGUCUUCGGAUCGUAAAACUCUGUUAUUAGGGAAGAACAAACGUGUAAGUAACGGCGCACGUCUUGACGGUACCUAAGCAGAAAGCCACGGCUAACUACGU
rnacentral:rRNA from 1 species